AGCAUAGCAACAGCAGCGUAGCUGAACAUCUUACGGAUGGCCCAGGGCUCCAAAGGCUCGUUUCCUAAGUGAGAGAGAGCCUGGCUGAAGCUGUAUUACCAUUCAUUCUCCAGCCUCCGAAGUCUCAAAGCAUCACUUCCACCAUACUCUAACUGUCAAGACAAACACAAAGGCCCAGAAACUGCCAGACUGUCUUCUGAAGUGGCUAUAAUAUUUACACUCCCAUCAGCAGUGUAGAAGGGGUCUCACUAUGUUGUCUGGAGUGCUGUGGUGGAGUGGAGUGGCUAUUCACAGCUGAGUUUGCAGAGUAAACCACUACCCUGAAAUCUGGAAAGGCAGGUGCACCCACAGAUCCUCAGCUGAGAUCCAAUUACCUGAAAUAGAAGCUGCCAUUAGGAACACUUAAAAGAGCCUGUUCUGCUGGGACACAGAAUCACUUGCUCCAUCUCAUACAUUGAUGAUGAUUAAUUUGUAUGUGUACCUUCCAAAAAAGAUGGUUGUGUUUGAAUGGAGGCCUUCUGGACAGGAAAAUAUGGAGAGUGCGUGCUUUGGAUUCAAGACUGGGAAUGAGGGGACCAGAAACCUAUUCUGUGGCUGUUUCUUGUUAGGACUUUCCUAAGCCUCUGGAAAAGUGCAAAGUACAAUUAACAUUUGAGUCUGUCUGAGUCAUGAAGAAAUGGAGAUUACUGAAAAUAAUUCAUUUUGGUAUCUUCUUACAUCCUGAGAGACUAAUCUUUCCAAGUUCAUCUGAGGCUCCUCUUCUCCAUGACAACCUCAUCCAGGGAUUUCUUCCUGUCCUGGUGUUUUAUGACAUCAUCCUCAUCUCGCUUGUAAGGAUAAUAGCCUUCCUCCAAACCUCACACACUUUUGGAGGAGAUCACUUUUUUUAAAGUGCAUGGAAAUGUUUUGAAACAGUGAAAUCUAUAAUGAUAGGUUUCAUAAUUCUAACAUCCACACCAUAUGAAUCACAUCCUUCCUGAGAUAAUGAGCACACAAUUGCCUGGAUACCUGAAGGAAUGGAGACAGCGGCAGAAAACACUGCAGAGAGGUGGAAACAUCCGUUAAUAUUUUAAAAUCCCAUUACUGCUACCAACAAUAAUAAUGGAUGCAUAGAAAUAGAUCUGGAUUAGCUGAGCUUGAAACAGUCCAUCUCACACACACACAAAAGAAUUUCAGGUAAUGAAGAAAAGAAAAGGAAAAAAAUAA
rnacentral:lncRNA from 1 species